UCUAUCGGUAGAUUUGCUCUUUGUCUAAAAGGCUAAAUGCAAAACCAGCCAGCAAAGGAUUUCCAUUGAACAGAUGGACCGUGAGACAAACCGUAGAGCUGUAGCUAUCGGUAAGGAAGAAGGAGCUGGGAAAGAUUUUAAACCCCAAGAAAAGAAAUGCAGUCUCUCUACCACUCCUAGAUCACAUGAAACGUCCACCUUCCAUCUUUGAAUGAGACUGAAGUUCUACUCAGCUAUGGCAGCUACUAGCCAUACAGAGACCGGUUCUCUGGGAAGCGUUCUUCGUUUUUAAAGCCAUCCAAGUUAGAAGUGACUCCUGCCCCCGAUGCCACCCCAAGGGACGCUCUUGGCAUUACGAUGGGCCACUGCACCUCCCGUUGCAGAAACCAUCUGAGACCAGGGAUAGCCAAUGACAUAGCUUCCUCCAGAUGCUGUUGGACUUGAAGCCCCAUCAGCCUCACAGCCGAUACAACUAAUGCUCAGGCAUGAUGGGAGUCGGGAGCCCCAACAACAUUUGGAGGGCAGCACGUUAUUAUUAUUAUUACCUGCUCUUUAAGCCCACAAGACCUGGUCCCUGUUCUCUGUCUGUCCCGUUUCCACCUGGCCUGCGAUGGAAGGAUCCUGAGCAGCAGCUGCUGCUGCUUCUGGAGGUACCUAGUGGCCAUCUAGCUGGCUGUGGGUUCUGUACGAUCUAGAAUCACAGAAUAGAAUCAUAGAAUUGUAGACUUGGAAGGGACCCUGCAACGCAGGAUUUAUUUAUUUAUUUUUUGCCCAACGUGGGGCUCGAACCCACAACGCUGAGAUUAAGAGUUCCAUGCUAUACCAACAACUGAGGACCUGGUCCUGGUUCCUCUGCCUGGCUCAGCUCCAUCGGGCCAAGUGAGUGACUUCAGCUACAAAGGCUGCAGCUGCCAAAGGUGCCCAGAAUGUUCAGGGGAAUCUUUGAUGUGAAUGGCUUUCUCUAGCUUGCCAAUGCGUAUUUAAAGUAGUUUUGCCAUUGUUUCUUAAAUGGUGGGGUUAGGGCCAUUGCUGGGCCUCCAUUCCCCAUUCAGCUGGGCCUCAGGGCCCCAUCCAGCCCUGGGCCUCCUCACUUGCCUGCCCUGUCCUCUGGCUGUGCUGAUGUCAACCCCAGCAACUCCCCAUAGUGACUAAGACCCCGUCCAUACUUCCAUUUGUCCUGUGCUUUGUAGGCCUGAGCCCGAGAGAUUUUUCGUUUGCCCCACUUUCCCCCAGAAAACCUGAUGUUUACCACUGAAUAGUAACAAGCAUCAAUCAGGUUUUCUGCAGAUUGAUGUUUGUUCCAAUUCAGCUGUAAGCCGUUGGUUUUCCCAGGGAAAGCAGCCGGGCAUAUGAAAAACUUCUCCGACCGACGCCUAGACAAGAGGCAAUGUGGAUGAGGCCUAAAGGAGGCCAGGAGACAGAUGGAUUUUGGGGAGGAGAAGUGAGGAAAAAAGAUGUCUCCAUGGGGAAAAGAACUAGAGGAGGUGCCAAAGGACAUUUUUAAAAGAUAGAGUUUAUAUAUUAAAAAUAGUAAUAAACUGGGAAUAGAAAAAGAAGGGAUAAGAGAGGGAAGGAGGAAAAAGUGAAUGUGAAAGGUGUAGGGAGGAUGGUUGAAAGGAACUGGGAGUUGGGGAAGGGAAAAUGAGGUACAAGAUAAAUGUGGAAGAAGAAAGGAAGAAGAAAUUAUAGGAGAUGAGUAAAAAUACUUUCAGAGGCAUGUUGAGAGGGAAGGGAAAAUAUAAAAUAAGAAGCCUUCUCUUUUAAAAGCUUCUGGAUCAGCUACUUCUGCCUAAAAUGGAGUGUUGAUUCACAAUACCUCAAGAGCCAACAUUCGGCCUUAGCACAAGGAAAGCUGAAUGAUGGAACUCCUUGUCACAAGAAAACUGCUGUAGUAAAGAACUUAGCCUUUCCCAAAGAGAGAGUAGCUAUCAGUAGAAAGCGAUGUCAGUAGCUGCUAGCUGGUUAUGUGAAACUGCAACUCCAUCUGCCACCAUUUUGUGGCUUGUGCGUCUCAACAAUUUUCAGCUCUCCCAAGUGGGCCCUGGGGGUAGAAAGUCUGAGAACCCCUGUCCUAUUUGAAAUGCAUCAAUAUAUUUUUGGCUGUGUGUGUGUGUGUGUACCUAUAUAUUGAUGAUUUGUUACUGUUAUUGUGAGGUGAUCUGAGUAACAUUUGGAAAAGCAACAUAAAUAAACAUAACACACACAAACACGCACAUCUUGCUUCAGUUCACAGAGAUGCAGGAGUGGAACAACCCCCCUAUAAUUCCAUAAAGAAUCACAGUUAGUGGUGACUUGAUUUAGGGACAGACGUACUGACUGUAUGUCACUCUUAACUCCUUGACAGACCAGCACCACAACUGUGGCAACUAGUUCUGGAAGAGGGAACAUUACAGACAUGUAUUUUAUGAAGUGCUAUCUUUUCUUUGUCCUGAAGCUACUGGCAUUCAGCUUCAUUGGACAUCAUAUUCUAACCUCCCUGCUGUCUUAGGAUAAAACUUGAUGAUAACCUAAGUACAGUAUAGCUCUUAGAGCAUACUAGCAGCC